GUGGAAAAUCCCACACAGUGAAAUUAGGACCGUGAGCGGACGGUGAGCGGCCGGGGCGCUGGCUGCGCCGCCCCUGUCAAGCACCGCCCCUGUCAGCGUCCCUCUCAGCUCGCCCGGGGUAAUCCUUACAUAUUUAUUAUUAUUACAGACUUAUAAAAUAUUUCAGUCAUCCCAUCGCCCUGAAGAGAGGAGCCACAUAAAACGCCAGACGCCCCCGCAUGCAGACACACCUGCCGGCUCACAUCAAGCCCAGCCCACCAAAAUAGCCCGAGGAACUGCGGUAGCUGUGACUGCGGAUCUGCAGCUUGGGCGAGUGCUCUGUGGAGAUCCUGCAAACAUGGCCAACUAUGAGUGGAGCCCCAACAAUUUGCAAGGGAGGGGACAGGUGCUUUGGGGGACCGCAGGACAGGCAGCAGUGCAAUAAAAGACACAACAGUGCAUUAUAACAGAAUAAAGGGGACCACCCAAGGACACAGCGGUCUCUGCUCGGAUGUCCGCAUGCCGUGCCAACAUCUCGACAUCUGCGUGCCUGCUAAACCUCUCCAAGACUGAGCAUCUCGUCUUCCCUGCCAGCCCUACCGUUCAGCUCGGAUCAGCGACAUUGUCUCCAUCAAGGUCUGCCAGGAACCUGGGGGUAAUGAUAGAUGACCAGCUAUCCUUUG